GAAAUGCGAUAAGUAGUGUGAAUUGCAGAAUUUAGUGAAUCAUCGAAUCUUUGAACGCACAUUGCGCCCCUCGGUAUUCCGUGGGGCAUGCCUGUUCGAGCGUCAUCUACACCCUCAAGCUCUGCUUGGUGUUGGGCGUCUGUCCCGCCUCCUUCGCGCGCGGACUCGCCCCAAAUCCAUUGGCGGCGGCCCUUGCCUCCCUCUCGCGCAGCACAUUGCGCUUCUCGAGGCGCGGCGGACCGCGUCCAGCAAGCAACCGUCACACCGUCUUUGACCUCGGAUCAGGUAGGGAUACCCGCUGAACUUAAGC
rnacentral:misc_RNA from 1 species